rnacentral:rRNA from 1 species
GACGAACGCUGGCGGCGCGCUUAACACAUGCAAGUCGAGCGAUGAAAUUUCGACAGAUCCCUUCGGGGUGAAGAUGAAAUGGAUUAGCGGCGGACGGGUGAGUAACACGUGAGUAACCUGCCUUUGACAUUGGGAUAGCCUCGGGAAACUGGGAUUAAUACCAAAUGACACUCACUGAUCACAUGAUCAAUUAGUCAAAGAAAUUCGGUCAAAGAUGGACUCGCGGCUGAUUAGCUAGUUGGUGAGGUAACGGCCCACCAAGGCGACGAUCAGUAGCCGGCCUGAGAGGGUGAUCGGCCACAGUGGAACUGAGACACGGUCCAAACUCCUACGGGAGGCAGCAGUGGGGAAUAUUGCACAAUGGGGGAAACCCUGAUGCAGCGACGCCGCGUGAGCGAAGAAGGCCUUCGGGUCGUAAAGCUCUUUUAUGAGGGAAGAUAAUGACGGUACCUCAAGAAAAAGCCCCGGCUAACUACGUG